CGAGAAAAGCCUCUAGAUAGAAAAUAGGUGCCCGUACCGCAAACCGACACAGGUAGUCAAGAUGAGAAUUCUAAGGUGAGCGAGCGAACUCUCGUUAAGGAACUCGGCAAAAUGACCCCGUAACUUCGGGAGAAGGGGUGCUCUUUAGGGUUAACGCCCAGAAGAGCCGCAGUGAAUAGGCCCAAGCGACUGUUUAUCAAAAACACAGGUCUCUGCUAAACCGUAAGGUGAUGUAUAGGGGCUGACGCCUGCCCGGUGCUGGAAGGUUAAGAGGAGUGGUUAGCUUCUGCGAAGCUACGAAUCGAAGCCCCAGUAAACGGCGGCCGUAACUAUAACGGUCCUAAGGUAGCGAAAUUCCUUGUCGGGUAAGUUCCGACCCGCACGAAAGGCGUAACGAUUUGGGCACUGUCUCAACGAGAGACUCGGUGAAAUCAUAGUACCUGUGAAGAUGCAGGUUACCCGCGACAGGACGGAAAGACCCCGUGGAGCUUUACUGUAGCCUGAUAUUGAAAUUCGGCACAGCUUGUACAGGAUAGGUAGGAGCCUUUGAAACGUGAGCGCUAGCUUACGUGGAGGCGCUGGUGGGAUACUACCCUAGCUGUGUUGGCUUUCUAACCCGCACCACUUAUCGUGGUGGGAGACAGUGUCAGGCGGGCAGUUUGACUGGGGCGGUCGCCUCCUAAAAGGUAACGGAGGCGCUCAAAGGUUCCCUCAGAAUGGUUGGAAAUCAUUCAUAGAGUGUAAAGGCAUAAGGGAGCUUGACUGCGAGACCUACAAGUCGAGCAGGGUCGAAAGACGGACUUAGUGAUCCGGUGGUUCCGCAUGGAAGGGCCAUCGCUCAACGGAUAAAAGCUACCCCGGGGAUAACAGGCUUAUCUCCCCCAAGAGUUCACAUCGACGGGGAGGUUUGGCACCUCGAUGUCGGCUCAUCGCAUCCUGGGGCUGUAGUCGGUCCCAAGGGUUGGGCUGUUCGCCCAUUAAAGCGGUACGCGAGCUGGGUUCAGAACGUCGUGAGACAGUUCGGUCCCUAUCCGUCGUGGGCGUAGGAAAUUUGAGAGGAGCUGUCCUUAGUACGAGAGGACCGGGAUGGACAUACCUCUGGUGUACCAGUUGUCGUGCCAACGGCAUAGCUGGGUAGCUAUGUGUGGACGGGAUAAGUGCUGAAAGCAUCUAAGCAUGAAGCCCCCCUCAAGAUGAGAUUUCCCAACUUCGGUUAUAAGAUCCCUCAAAGAUGAUGAGGUUAAUAGGUUCGAGGUGGAAGCAUGGUGACAUGUGGAGCUGACGAAUACUAAUCGAUCGAAGACUUAAUCAAAA
rnacentral:rRNA from 1 species